UAUUCGAAAUAUUGUUUAUUAUUUCUGUUGUUGGCUUUGCUUCAUCGAAAUGUAAUCUCCUAUGGGUUUUGCAACACUAGACUAAUAUUUGAAGAGUCCUGUAAACCACCUUUCGGUAUAUGGUGCAAAUUUCCAGUGCAAAUUGCCCAGUUAUAUGGUAACGAUAUAUACAAAAGCCCAUAUUGUGAAGUUGAAUCUGUGCGGGAGUAUUGCAAAUAUUGUGAAUUACUUGCCGGCCAAAAAAGUCUUGAUGCCGAUUCAUCAGACUCUUCUUGUGAUGACUAUUGGAAAUAAACAUCCAAUUCAUAAGCAAUGAUUUGAGUCAUAUUUAUCCGAAAAAAAAUGUGUAAUUAUAUGUAUUUAUGUGAAAAAACUAAUAUAUCUAUGUAUGUCCUUGAUUUACCUUUCCAA